GACGAACGCUGGCGGCGCGCCUAAUGCAUGCAAGUCGAGCGACGCAUGCCCGGUGGGUAACCACUAGGUAUGACGGAGCGGCGAACGGGUGAGUAACACGUGAGUAACCUGCCCCGAAGACCGGGAUAGCCCGGGGAAACCCGGAUUAAUACCGGAUACCCUCUCUGGAUCGCAUGGUCCGGUGAGGAAAUGCCUUUGUGCUUCGGGAUGGACUCGCGGCCUAUCAGCUUGUUGGUGAGGUAACGGCUCACCAAGGCUACGACGGGUAGCUGGUCUGAGAGGACGAUCAGCCACACUGGGACUGAGACACGGCCCAGACUCCUACGGGAGGCAGCAGCAGGGAAUCUUGUCCAAUGGGCGCAAGCCUGAGACAGCGACGCCGCGUGAGGGAUGAAGGCCUUCGGGUUGUAAACCUCUUUCAGGAGGGACGAAAAUGACGGUACCUCCAGAAGAAGCCCCGGCCAACUACGUG
rnacentral:rRNA from 1 species